UCCUACGGGGCGCAGCAGUGAGGAAUAUUGGUCAAUGGACGCAAGUCUGAACCAGCCAUGCCGCGUGCAGGAUGACGGCUCUAUGAGUUGUAAACUGCUUUUGUAUGAGGGUAAUAUCAGAUACGUGUAUCUGCUUGAAAGUAUCAUACGAAUAAGGAUCGGCUAACUCCGUGCCAGCAGCCGCGGUAAUACGGAGGAUCCAAGCGUUAUCCGGAUUUAUUGGGUUUAAAGGGUGCGUAGGCGGUUUUUUAAGUUAGCGGUGAAAGUUCGGGGCUCAACCACG
rnacentral:rRNA from 1 species